GAUGAACGCUGGCGGCGUGCCUAAUACAUGCAAGUCGAGCGAACGGACGAGAAGCUUGCUUCUCUGAUGUUAGCGGCGGACGGGUGAGUAACACGUGGAUAACCUACCUAAAAGACUGGGAUAACUUCGGGAAACCGUAGCUAAUACCGGAUAAUAUUUUGAACCGCAUGGUUCAAAAGUGAAAGACGGUCUUGCUGUCACUUAUAGAUGGAUCCGCGCUGCAUUAGCUAGUUGGUAAGGUAACGGCUUACCAAGGCAACGAUGCAUAGCCGACCUGAGAGGGUGAUCGGCCACACUGGAACUGAGACACGGUCCAGACUCCUACGGGAGGCAGCAGUAGGGAAUCUUCCGCAAUGGGCGAAAGCCUGACGGAGCAACGCCGCGUGAGUGAUGAAGGUCUUCGGAUCGUAAAACUCUGUUAUUAGGGAAGAACAUAUGUGUAAGUAACUGUGCACAUCUUGACGGUACCUAAUCAGAAAGCCACGGCUAACUACGUG
rnacentral:rRNA from 1 species